AUGGAGAGUUUGAUCCUGGCUCAGGAUGAACGCUGGCGGCGUGCCUAAUACAUGCAAGUCGAGCGAACAGACGAGGAGCUUGCUCCUUUGACGUUAGCGGCGGACGGGUGAGUAACACGUGGGUAACCUACCUAUAAGACUGGGAUAACUUCGGGAAACCGGAGCUAAUACCGGAUAAUAUUUCGAACCGCAUGGUUCGAUAGUGAAAGAUGGCUCUGCUAUCACUUAUAGAUGGACCUGCGCCGUAUUAGCUAGUUGGUAAGGUAACGGCUUACCAAGGCAACGAUACGUAGCCGACCUGAGAGGGUGAUCGGCCACACUGGAACUGAGACACGGCCCAGACUCCUACGGGAGGCAGCAGUAGGGAAUCUUCCGCAAUGGGCGAAAGCCUGACGGAGCAACGCCGCGUGAGUGAUGAAGGUCUUCGGAUCGUAAAACUCUGUUAUUAGGGAAGAACAAAUGU
rnacentral:rRNA from 1 species